GUGGUUGUAAACGCCAAUUUUCCAGCAAAAGACAAUUGUUUCCCCUAAACGAUAUGUAAGGCAAAGAUAAAGAAGCUAUUCAAAUUGAUGUUUCAGUUUCCCGUCUGCAUUUUUUAAAUAAAGAAUUGGUUACAAAUCAAAGUUAUCGUGCUUUAUCAUUAAUAGAUAUGGAUAACAAUAAAUAUGGAAUAAUGAAGUGGUGGGCUGUCAGUAUCAUUCACAGAAGGGACAUGUGUUCAGACGAUAAUCAGAG
rnacentral:lncRNA from 1 species